rnacentral:rRNA from 1 species
UACGUAGGGACCGAGCGUUGUCCGGAUUUAUUGGGCGUAAAGAGCUCGUAGGCGGUUUGUCGCGUCUUCCGUGAAAACUGGGGGCUUAACUUCCAGCUUGCGGUGGAUACGGGCUGACUGGAGUGCGGCAGGGGAGACUGGAAUUCCUGGCGUAGCGGUGAAAUGCGCAGAUAUCAGGAGGAACACCGGUGGCGAAGGCGGGUCUCUGGGCCGUUACUGACGCUGAGGAGCGAAAGCGUGGGGAGCGAACAGG